rnacentral:rRNA from 1 species
UACGAACUGUGCAAACGUUAUUCGGAAUCACUGGGCUUAAAGGGUGCGUAGGCGGCUGUCUAAGUAGGGUGUGAAAGCCCCCGGCUCAACCGGGGAAUUGCGCCCUAAACUGGAUGGCUGGAGUGAGGCAGUGGUGUGUGGAACUUCCGGUGGAGCGGUGAAAUGUGUUGAUAUCGGAAGGAACUCCGGUGCCUAAAGCGACACACUGGGUCUCAACUGACUCUUAGACACGAAAUCCAGCAUAUCAAACUUC